rnacentral:lncRNA from 1 species
GAAAAAAAAAAUUAGCUGAACCCUACUAAAAAUAGAAAAAAACUUAGUAAUUAUAGAAAAUUAACUAAUAACCAACCUAUUGCUUCGUAUUGUCGAGAUCCUAACUAAGAAACAGUCACUAUGUGAAUAAAUACAUCUAUAAAAAAUGAGUAGAUCUAUCAUAUAGUUGUAGCAACUGCAUUUUUUUCUCUACAAAAGAAACCAGAUUUUAGGCUGUGAAGCAAAACUAAAGGGAUGUGGAUAAAAGGAGGGAUGAUAGAUAGAAGGAAGAAGAAUAAGAAAGAUAUAGGAUUCCAAUGUGUAUGGUCUAUGAAUUACAUCAUAAAAAAAAAGCAAUGUGAUAAAGCAUCAAUAUAAUAAAAUAAUAAAAAAAAGAGAGAAUUCGAAAUCGUAACUUUCGAAACAACAAAUAAAAAUUUAAAGAAAUAAAAAAGAGCAGCCCGCGUUAAUAAAACUGAGAAAAUUGACUCGGAAAGAAAUUUUUUGUUUUUGGAAGCUCCAUUGCAGGAUUCAAACCUAACCAUUAAAGGAGAAGCUGUGGGAACGACAAAACCUAUGACGGCAUCGGAUUUUAUUGAAAAGAAUCCUAACACUUCAUUGGGUGGGAUGGCGGAACAAACCAAAAAAAUUGCUUUAUUUGAUAAAGUUCUAAAUUAACAAAUAAGACAGGAAAGAGUAAAUAUUCGCCCGCGAAAUCCUUAUUGGAUUAGAAUACUUUACCACGAUUCAAUAAGAAUAAAAAUAAGGAGAUUCAAAAAAAAAA